GCACUGCUGAAGAGUCCCAAACUAGGACGAAACAGUUGUCCAGGAC
rnacentral:hammerhead_ribozyme from 1 species